rnacentral:piRNA from 1 species
UNUUUACUCAGAUGCUGGCUAGGUUAG